rnacentral:lncRNA from 1 species
UGAGAUGGACUAGCUUUAGCUAAAAUCUCUAACACACCAAGCUCGAUGAUAGCUUUCAUGGUCAUCGGAAGUAAUGAGCUGUGGGCAAGCUCCAUGAUCAGCAUGAAAUCUUCCUCAUCGUUUGGUGGUUUCAUGAGUUGGUCAUGGAAUGAACUCAUCUUAAUUCUCGGAGUAGGAUAUGCUGAAAUUAACAAAAUGGCAAUGGAUGAUGUUGAUGAGCGCUCAGUAUAUAACUAUAUAGAUACACGUAUAGAUAUAUUAGUUAUAAAUGUAGGUUUUGGUAGCUUUGCCGCUUUUAUAUAUGUAAAUAGCCCCACUCAUCACAAUCAUAGUUAUGUCAUCAACCAAUUGAAAACAAACGCAUCAGUUUUAACAAGGGAAUCAUUCACCACUUGUCUUCUAAGUCUUCAAUUUAAAUGUUUUAUCCGACUUUUCAAUUCUGCAAUGACAUUUUCUGUCCCACUCUCGACAGUGAUCACAAAGAUGGGAAACCUGGGUACCUACUUUUUUUGACUCUGAAAUAUUAUUGCAAUUUGCACCAGCUUUGGCUGCAUGUCAGUUUCCAAAUUGCCUCACCAUUCUUUCAUAUCUGCUUCGAAAAAAGAAAGAAGAGCUUUCAACAUCAGUAUUUAAAAUAUAUCGUUUUUCUAUACUUAUCAACAGCUGUAGCACAUAUCCGCGGGCAGUAGAUUUCAAACAAAUUCAUCAACUAACCAUCGAUUGUUUUCGCGUUGAAUGAGUAUUUAUUUCCAUUUGAAAAUAUAACCUAUUUUCAAAGUAAUUGAUUAUGGUCGUGAUUCGUUUAAUUUUUCUUUCUUACUUACCGAUAGCUUUGGCCCUUGUUGAGGACGCGAUAGGUUCCAAAUAAUCCAUCAACCAUGUUCUGAUAGCUACAGGGAAAACAAAGUAUUUGUUACAUUGUUAAAAUAUACCAUAUUUCAUAAUAAUUGAAUGUGAUCGUCAUUUGAAAAUAACUUGUUACCAUUAUAAGAUUAUUUGAUUUCAUAAAAAUCAAGCAGAAGCAUAGGAACUUACCUCCAACCAUAGUUAUCAGAUUCUCUUAGAUACUAAGUUUUAUUUUAUAAUUUUACUUGAAUUUUUUCAAUCUAUCUAACACCACUAUUCCGGUGAGUAGAUGAAAAUAUAUAGGACUAAGUUGUUAAAAUAGGGAGCUUUCAAUUUUAUUAUUUUCUGAAAUAUGUUCACUUCUUCUCCCAUCAAGAAGAAUAUAUAUGCAAGGGAAAGAGAUGGGCCAUAAUCGUUUAAAUUUUGUUAACCACUGUAACAUGUAGAGAGAUAUUAGGAAUAGUGGAAGUUAAUAUAACUUCUCUUUAAACUGCUCAUAUAUUAAAUUUUUAAAUUUAAAUAAAUGUAAUAACGAUGAUAAAUAAAAUAAGGACAAAAAGUUUAAAUUAACUAAAACAUAAUUACCUAAUGGUAAUUAUUACCACUUAAGGACACAAAAACGUGUCUUACAUUCUCACACUUUGUCCACCUCACUACAAACUCAUAAUCUUUAAUUUUCUCUAAAUGUUUUAACUUUAUACUCAAACUAAAAAUUGAAAAACCAUGAAUCAUUGUGGCAAGUUCUUUAAAAACAAGUAUUGCCUUCCACGCAUUACAAUAUAGUCUUGUCCUAAAGUGAGUACUUAAUGUGGGAUAUACUUUAUGAAUAAGCUUCCAAAUACUCAUUCAUGGUCCUUUUUUUAUUUUAUUUAAAUAUCUAUACAUAUAGUCGUUGUUUAAACCUUAUGUAUAAAAAUCAUAUGAGAUGACAAUUUGAUAAAUUAAAAAUUUAGAGUCAAUUGAAAAACUAGUACAUAAAACAUGGUAUCUCACUUACAUAAAAUUAUAUAAAAAAAUUGCAUCCCGUGUUCUCUAUAUGUUCCUUAUACAACUUUACUGGUAAUCCCUUCGUCAAUGGAUCUGUAAUCAUCUAUUUGGUAGUGAUAUGUUCAAUAACCACAUUUUGUGAUCUAAUAUGCUCUCUAAGAGCUAAGUACUUAGUGCUGAUAUGCUUUCUUCAAUUUCCACUUUAGUUACUCUUUGCUAUAGAAACUUGCUAAAAAUUUGUAGUUCUUCUGUGUUCCAAACUUGAAUUAGAUUGAUAUCUUCCCAACAUUCUUAUUGUAAAUGCAAUGUUAGGGCUUAUGCAACCCAAAGCAUACAUUAAACUCUGCAUAAGGAAUAUUGGUCAUCUGUUCCCUUAGAAUUUUAUUCUCUCGGCACUGCUUUAAACUAAAUUUGUCACCUUUGAUAAUAGGCCAUACUAGAUGAAUAAUCUUUCAUACGAAAUCUCUCAAGAACUUUAUUGAUAGGUUUCUUGAGAUAAUCCUAAUAUCCCUCGGGAUCUAUCUCUUUGAAUUUUUAAACCAAUGAUAUAAGAAGUCUCAGUUAUAUCUUUCAUAUCAAAUUGUUGUGAGAGAAAAUAUUUAACCCCAUGAAACAAGCCCAAGUCACUUAAAGAAAGCAAAAUAUCAUCUACAUAUAGGACUAAGAAAAUGCUUUUUCUUCCACUGACCUCACGAUAUAUAUAUUGAUCCAUAAUAUUCUCCAUGAAACCAAAUGAAGAAAUUAUGUCAUGGAACUUUAAAUACCACUAACGAGAAGCUUGUUUUAAUCUUAUGCUUACAAACUAAGUGACUAUUUUCACUUAAGAUGAGCCCUUCUAAUUGUUUUGUGUAAACCUCUUCCUUUAGAUCUCCAUUGAGGAAAGUGGUUUUGAAGUCCAUUUGAUGUAAUUCCGUAUCAAAAUAAGCCACCAAAUGCCAUGAUUAUCCAAAAGGAAUCUUUAUUAGAGACUAGAGAGAAAGUUUCAUGAUAAUCAAUCUUUCUUGUUGAGUGAAUCCAUUGGCUACAAGUCAAGUUUUAUAUCUUUUGAUAUUGCAUGAGGAAUUUCUUUUGGUUUUAAAAACCCAUUUAUAGCCAAUGGCUUUUGCUUUUUUAGGCAAUUCUACAAUAUGCUAAGCUUAGUUAUUAGCCAUUGAAUCCAUCUUAUCAUUUAUGACAUUAUGCCAUAACAUGGAUUUACUACAACUCAUGGCCUGUAAAAAUAUAGUAGGGCACCUUCAGCACUAAUGUCAAUGUUAGAUUCUUAUAAGUAUACAAUAUAAUCAGAAGUAAUUGCAAGUUUUCUCAUCCUUGUAGAUCUCCUUAAUGUUACAUCAACAUCAUUUUGAAGAGGAUUUUCGAUAACUGUAUCCUCAGGAUUGCUUUCUACGUGAUGUGACACUUCAAGAAUUAGUUAUUGAUAAUCUUGUAAAUAUUGGUGAUUAUCUUGAAUUACAACUAAUUUUCGUGAAGAUUCAAGAGUAGAUUCUGUACUUGGAUCUCGCUCAAAACUAAGUUUUGAGAUUGACUAGUCCUAUUAUUUGUAUCACUCUCUAGAAAAUGUGCAUUUCAUGCUUUUACAAUUUUAGAAUUAUGGGAUGGUUAAUAGAAUCUAUACCCCUUAGACCUUUCGUAUAGCCAAUGAAAAAACUAUUAACUGUCCUAGGUCUAACUUUUUCUCUUGUGGUUUGUAUACUCUAACUUCAGCGGGACAACACCAUUCAUGCACAUGUCUUAAACUAGGUUUCCAACCUUUUCAUAAUUCAGAAGGUGUUUUAGGAGCAACUUUUGGUGGAACUCUAUUUAACACAUAUACAAUAGUUUUUAGAGCUUCACUCCACAAGAAUAAUGGGAGACUGAAGUUGCAUAUCAUACUCAAGACCAUGUACAUUAAUGUUUGGUUUUAUUUUUCUGCUACACCAUUUUGAUACGGCAUGCAUGACAUUAUGUAUUGAGCAACAAUGCCUUCUUAAUUUAGAAACCUAACAAAUGGGCCUGGUUUUUAUCCUUAUCCCAUGUACCAACCAUAAUAUUCUCCACCUCUAUUUAAUCUAUUGAUUUUAAUUUAUUUUCCUAAUUGUUUCUCUAUUUCUACUUUCAAAUUUUAGAAGCAUCUAAUGCUUCACCUUUAUCAUAAAAAAAGUAGAGACACGUAUAACAUGAAUAAUCGUCAAUAAAGGAGAUAAAGUAUUUCAUACCAUUUAAGCACACUUCUAGACAUGGGCCACAAAUAUAAGUGUGCGUAAUUUUAGAACUCCUUGUGCCACCUUUCUUGGUCUUAUUGGUAUGCUUUCCCUUAAAGCAGUCCACAAAAGUACAAAGAUUAAUAAAGUCAAGAGUCUUAAGGAUGCCGUCCUUUAUUAAUCUUUUAAUUCGCUCGAUGAGAGUAUGACCUAAUCCCCUAUGCCAUAACAUAGAGGAUUUUUCAUUUAAAACCUCUCUUUGUACUAAUAUUCCCAUGCAAAGUCAUAAGGUUAUAAUCAAAAAUAGGAUUUAAAUAAAGUUUAAACAAACUAUCAUCUAAUAUUCCAUCACUAAUAACAAUAGAGUCUUUAAACAAAUGAAAAGAUAUCUAAAUGAAAUUAAAAGUAAAACCAAGAGGUAAAAGUCUUGAAACAGAUAAGGAUUCUAGAAAAUAAUAAAAUAUAAAAGGUUUUCCCAAGGUCUAAGACAAAGCCAUAAUUAAGACCAAGUCUGUAGGUCCCCUUAACUUUAACAUAUGGAGGCAUUUUAUUUCUUGAAUAGAUUAUACAUUAAUUGUUCAUCGGUUUCCUUUGGUUUAAGAAACCUGCAUGGUAUUAGCAACAAUGAUAGUAGAACCAGAGUCAAUUCACCAAGUAUUUUGAGAAAUUUGAACCAUAUUAGAUUUGUAACACGCUAGAGAUAUAUAAUUACCUUUCUUUUUAAGCCAAGUCUUGCAUUUGGGGCAAGCCUUCUUCAUGCGCCUUUUCCUUUUAGAAAAAAAGCACUUAACAACAUCCUUGUUGAUUUGAUUAGAGACGUUUUUCCUUUUCUUUUCCCCUUUGUCAUUUUUCUUUCCAUGAGUCAAUAUAUGAUACUUUCCAUCUUUUCCUGAUUCAGCCUUUCCUCCUUUUGCACAGACAAAGGCAAAAGUUCAUUGAUAGACUACUUUUUAUUUUAUUUUAUAUGUGUUAUAGGAGAUUCUGAAAGGUCCAUAUUCAUAUAGGUGUGAAUUAAUGAUAAAGUGAACUAAAAAAAACUCAGAAAUGUCAAUUUCUAAAGACUUGAGUUGAGCAACUAUAUCUGUCAUUUCCAUAAUGUGCCCAUGGAUGGCUUUGGUGCCUUUGAAUUAAAGUAAUUUGUACUCAAAACAUGUGCAUAAUUGUAGGUUUUCAGAAGUUUAUAAUUCAUGAAGGGAUGCUGUGAUAUUAGACCAGCAAGAGGAGGAAAGAAUAUAGCCACAAAAGAAGUUAAACACAACCGAGAACAGUGCAGUGUUCUAACCGUUGUUAGAGCAACCAUUGCUAUAGCAAUCCUGGAGCACUGAGGGAGAAAACUUAGCAUGGGUCAGUUGCAGAAUUGCGAUAUGCAGUUUUCUAAUUUAACUCAUGCACACCCGAGACUUUUGUUUACCCUAGUUUUUAGUUAUAAAAGGAGGCGCGAACCACAUAAAACUGCGGUAAGGACUUAUCAUUAAACACAUUAGAGAGAAAAAGAAGAAGAAGAUCAGAAUUCAAGAGGACAGCUUUAGCAGCAUUGAAAAAACCCGCAAAGUUAUUUGGAUUUACUUUUUGCCGUUCUCAACUUAUACAUUUCUUCUUUCUUUAAUUGAUCUAAUGUAUCCCGUGAACAAUAUGUUGAUGUUUGUUUAUCUCUUUCAGAAUAUGAACUAGAUUUGCUUAUAGUUGAGUGACAAAUAAUUUAAUGGGUUCUUGACUGUUCUUAUGAGUUGCUAUGUCAUUACUGUAAUAAUACUCAAUAUUUUAUUCUAAGAAAAUAUUAAUUUUGUAUUAUAUUAUUAAUAAUAAUGUUUCAUUUGUGUUGCUCUUAAUAAUAAUUUUUUAUUUACUUAAUUAAAAUUAAAAUUAAUAAAAAAAUUAUUUACAUAAUUAAGAAUAUUAAUAUUCAUUAUUAAUUUACAAAUAUAAUAAAAUAAAUAUUUUAUUUUUUAAAUCUAUUUUUAUUAAUUUUAUAAUUAAAAAAUAUAACAUUUAAAUAAGGAUAAAAUUAUAAUUUAAAAUCAUUUAUUCCCAAUUUCAUGUUCUGAUUAUAGUGUAAGUAAACAACUUACUCCAACUCUCACUCCAACUCCUAAUUUCAGGAUUUAUACUCUUCAAAAUUCCCACUCCAAUUUAAAAUGUAAACACAUCAUUAAUCCCGUAGGAAAAUCCCCCGAACACAUAAGAUUUUCAAGAGAAAGAAAAGUAUGAAUGGAUACAAGCGUGCACACUGCACAAGAUAAAUUACCGUGGGAAAAUAAAGUGAGAAAGUCCCAGUAAGAUGGCAAAUUGCUGGUCUAGAACAAGAUUUUUUAAGCCCAGGCCAAAAUUUAUGUUGUUGAUAAUAGACCGAACCCCUGUACUAGCCCAUCCAAGUUCUUGGGCUUCCAUUAAUUUUUAAAUAAAUUUUUAAUAUAGCCAAAAGUAAAAAAAAAACUUAAAUUAAAAAUAAUUAUUUAUACAUAAUACAUAAAAUACUUACAACACAAUAUAAUAAACUAUAAAUAAUAAUUAAAAAUUAUAACUAUAUAAAUAAUAAAUUAAUUUUUAAUUUAUAAAUUAUAAAGCCCGAAAUUCCAUAAGCCUGUAACUGUACCCUUUCACAGUAAACUUUAAAAAUUUUGAUUCAUGUCUAUGCCCUAAUGUGACUUUUUGGUCCAUCCCAGUCCUAAGGGCACGCUAUUGGUUGUUAUUGUUAUAAGUCAAUUGAAGCCGGUGAAUGGAAAUAAUUAGGGACAAUUUCUGACGUAACAUGAUAUUAUGAUGCUGGGUGACAAUAAAUAACAAUCAGUUUUAAGAGGCACAUUAAUUGGCGUAUCGUCCUUUUCAUUAUUAACAGAUUGACGACUUAGAUAGUAUGUGGUAUUGGGACCAUUUAAAAUAUGAGUAAUGAUAUAGGAAUAAGUUUUUGUAUAAAUUUAUUUUGUAUAAAUUGACAUGAUAUGAUAAAAUUAGUUGAAUUAAAUUUCACUUGGUCUACAUAAUUUAUUUAUAUGAUUUUAUAUUUUCAUUCAAUCAAUGAAUUAAUGCCACAUCAACUUGUAUAAGAUAAAUUUAUAUAAGAGUUUUUGACAAUGUUAUCACUCUUAAAAUAUUAAUUAUGUGGUGCGAAGAUGAGAUUUGAAUAAUUUGAUUGCUUUGAAUUUAUCAAUAAAAAUUUUUUUAAGCCACUUCAUUAUUUUUUUUCCAAUUUUUUUAACUUGCUUAUUAAUUCUUUUGAGUUCUAAAAAUGUUCUCAUUCAUAAACAUGAGAUCUACAUUAUAUUGAAAAAAAUUUGUGUGGGAGAAAUAAAUUACCUCAGCAUCAAUUGUCAUUUGACAUAAUAUUCAAUUGAUUUCAUAAUAAAACUCAUAAAUUUUUUAUUAUUUAAUUUAUGAGUCCCACUAAUAAGAUCCUUUAAACCUACUGACUAAUAGGUCGUUUUAAGAGGCACAAUUAAUCUGCAUAUUGUAAUUUUCACACAUAAUAGAUUGACUAACUAGAUAUCAUGAUGUUGAGACCAUUUAUAAUAUUAAUUACUUGAUGUGAAGAAUAUGUUUGAUUGCUCUAAAGUUAUCAAUGAAAAAUAUUUGUUUAAGGCACUUUCUUUCUUCUUUUCCAAUUUUUUUUCUAGUCACUAUUUUUCAUUAUUUUAAAAAUAUAUCCAUUCAUAAAUGUGAGAUAUACAAUAUAUCAAGAAACAUUUAUAUAGAACAAGUAUACUUCCUCAACAUUAAAAACCUAUCAUUUAGCUUAAUGUUGAUGAAUUUCAUGAUAAGACUCAUAAUUUUUUAUUAUUUAAUUUAUGGAUUUCUCUAUCAUGAUCAAUCCAACCUACCUAAUAAUAGGUUAUUUUAGUGCACAUUUACAUCCCAUAAUAUUCUCGAUUCUUGUUACUUGCAUAAGUCGUGAUGGUUUUGAGCUCUGUAAUAUAUGCAUCCCGUACUGUUAUUGAUCAUUUUCAUGUGUGUCGAUCAUAUAAUGGACUUAUUAUAUACAUCACGUAAUUAUUAUAUACAUCAAAAUAAUGAUCUUAAUUCUUUUAAUAUAUAAUGGUGUUCAUUCCCAUCAAACGCUUAUUUAAUACCUCUUAUUUGAUUUAAGUGUCUAUUUACACUUUAUAAUUUAAAGAAUAUCUUAAAAACAUCCCCGUUGUUAAAUAAUUGACAUUUAUACCCUUAUUUUUCUUUACUUUUAUAAUAUUAUUGUUACUACAAUUUUAAAGUAAUAUUUAAUACCUUUGCAAUGAUCUUGCAAAUAAUUAUUUAAAUAACAAGAUGCUUAAAAUAUUAUCUGAGAAGCUAAUUAAGAAUCUGAACAUGAACACAUAAAUGAUCAAACCAGAAUUUACCAAAACAACAUACAAAUCAGCAAGGAAUCACAAGACACAAUCAAUUACGUGGUUAAGGUAAUUUUCAUUUACUAACAUCCACGAGAGGAACAAACUGAUUAGCUUUAUUAAUUGAUUCAAGUUUCUUUACAAAGAGAUUUUCAAAGCAAGAUUCAAGGAAUAAGAGAACUCUCUUCUCUCAAGCUAUCUCCCUCUCUUGAAUUCUCUAGGUCUCUCUAUUUGUUGCACCAUAAUCAGUUGUGUUAACAGCUUAUAACAAACCCAGAAGCUUGAUAGUAUUGCACAUGAGAAGCAUGUGUAAUGACGACCUCUUAACAACCUUUAUAUGUCACUGGUCGAGUUUCAUUAAGCCCAAAAUGGCAAAGCUUAUUGUCUUUUAAUUAAGCAAAAUUAAAUCUCAAUGAAACACAGAUUAGCUGGUUGUUUUGUUUAAGUCAUUAACCACCAAAACACAUUCCAUUCUUGUCGUUUUGUCAACACUUGAUUUGUUUCACUUGUACUUAACAAAUCUCUACCUUAAAAAAAUCAAAACCUGUUUAGAUUUUCUGCUCUUCCCUCUGCAACUUCAAAUAUUGCACAAACCAGCCUUGUUCAUGCAAACCUUGAACUUAGAUAUGAUUUACCUUCGUAAGCAUGUCUGCAGGGUUGCCGUCAGUAUGAACCUUCUCCAUUUUUAUCACUGCUUUGGACACUUCAUUCCUUAUAAAGUGUGUAAUUUGACAUCACCACGCUUGGUUCUCUCAUGAUGAACUGGAUUUUUACUCAAGUAAUUUCACUUGAUCUGUCACAGUGGAUAUCAAUAUUCUUUUGAAGCAUCCCAACUUAGCCAACAUUCCUUUGAGCCAUAAAGUUUCCUUGACUGCAUCUGUAGCUUUAGUGUAUUCAGCCUCUAUUGUUGACAUAAAAAUAACAUGUUGGAGACCUGUUUUCCAGUUUAUAAUGCAGGCAUUCAACAUGAAUCUAUACCCUGUUAAGGACCUUCUCCUAUCAUAAUUACCAACAAAAUCUGAGUCCAUAUGACCCCAUAAUCCACCAUUUAUUCCAUUUGAUCUGCCAUACAGUAGUCCAUUUUUUAUAGUACUAUUUAAGUACAUCAAUAUCUAUUUGAUUGCUUUCCAAUGCUCCUUACUAGAUGCUGAACAUAUAUCUGCUUGCAAUGCUUAGAGCACCUGAAAUAUCAAGUCUUGUUAGGACCAUAGCAUACAUCAUGCACCCUACAGCAUUGGCAUAAGGAAUAUUUACCAUUUCAGCCCCUUUCUUUAUCUGUUUUAGGGUAUUGCUGAUUUGAUAGUAUGAAGUGAGAUGGCAAUGGUUUUAUGACAGAUUUACAGUGUUGCAUCCCAAAGGUGCUAAGCACUUAUUGUAAAUAUUUCUCUUGUGAGAGAAAAAUUGUUCCCUCUCUUCUGUUUCUCAUUAUCUUCGUACCUAAGAUCUUCUUUGCAUGUCCUAAGUUUUUCAUAUCAAACUCUGAAUUGAGCAGCAGCUUUAAGGCUUCAAUUUCACUUCUCUGUUUACAAGCUAUCAAUAUAUCAUCCACGUACAGCAGCAAGUAUAUAUAAAGAUUAGUUUUCGAUGACUUGUAGUAAACAUAACAAUUAAAACAGCAUCUAACGAAUCUAUGAGAAAUCAUGAACUCAUCAUACCUGAGAUACUACUGCCUAGGGAAUUGUUUUGACCCAUACAAUGAUUUGUUCAACAAACAUGCAUAAUUAGUACUCUUUAGAUCCACAUACCCCCCUGGUUGAAUCAUCAAAAUCUCUUUUUAUAGCCUUCCAUGCAAGAAAGGAGUUUUAAUAUCAAGUUGAUCAAGCUCCAUGUCAUGAACUGUUGUCAAAGCUAACAACACCCUUACUGAAGCAUGUCUGACUACAAGUGGGAAACCUUUCUUAAAAUUAACCAUUUCCUUUUGAGCAUAUCCUUUAGCUAAUAGCUAGCCUUAAAUCUUCUAGGUUCAAUAGUGGUUAGACCAUCAAUUAGAAGUUUACUAAACUUCAUUAUUCAUCACAACUAAUGGAGAAAGGAAGAUAAAGCUCACAACAAAUAAAUAUACAUAGUGACAGCACCAAUUGAAUAGCACCAUAAACCAAUCAUAGAGACAUUUCCAUCAACCCAUACCUAGUGACAGUACCAAUUGAACGGCACCAUAAACCAAUCAUAGAGACAUUUCCAUCAACCCACAAGUAAUCAAUCACAGCCUUCAGAUCAUCUUUCUGAAAAACAAGCAAUCAACUUCAGAUGGACCUUAAUUACAAGAAUAAAGGUCAACAAGAUAGAUAAUUGAUCUCAUAAAUGAUUUUUUCCCUUUAAAAAUUAAAAUUUUAAAAAAAAUUCCCAGAUGUGUAAUUUUUUCCCACUAGUUAACCAACCACUUACUUUAUUCCAUCCUAGAGUAACAUACUCUCCUGCACAGAGCCCAGAUCCUGAAAAAAUCAAAAGUGAAAAUGGUAAUAUUUUAAGGCGGUAAUAUUAUUGGAGCUUCACUAGCAUCAGCCUUGUAGAUACUGCCAAAGAUCAAGAUAUACUGCUAAUUACUAUUCUGUAACUAGUGCUCAAGUGCAUCAUUUGUAGAUAAAAAAGCAAUGAAGCCUGUUGAAUUCUUGAAAUUACAAUAAAGUUUACAAUUCAUCUUCAAAGCACAAAGUUCCAAAUUGUAUCUUGGAAGAAAUAUGUGUAAGCCUUUGACAUAAUUUUACUCCAUCUAUCUUUUAAAAUCACAAAAGUAAAUUUCAUUAUUCAUUGAUUAUUCAAUUGGAAUAUAAUUUCAAUAAGCCAAAUUCAUAUAAAAUAUAAAAUAUAGAUUUAGAUUCUCACAAUCCUUGAAUCUCCUGUAAGUUUACACAACCCAGUCCUUCAAAAAGCAAAGCAACAUUAUGUCAACAUAAAUUGAACAAUAUGUGACAGAUGAAUUGUACACCUAGACUAAGCAUAAGCAAGAUUAAAUACAACACCUCAUUAAGCUUUGCUUUCCGAAUGAAUAUAAUAAGCUUCAUAUUCCUUGGCUCCUCAUAGGUAGAAAUGGCCUGCAAUAAUUAAAGCGCCAAGAUUGAUUCAGGCUUUUUAUCAAACACUUGGAGGGAAUACAAAAAUAAUAACUAUAUCCCCAAUUCGAAGAUGGUGAACAUACGGCUACAUGCAUGUGAUUUGCCCCACUCGAGAAUAAAGCCUAUGUCAUUUUGUAGUUCUAAGAUUCGGUAAUGUCAAUCAAAAAGUAAAUUUAACCAAUGAAAUUAAAAAAAAAAAAUUCCAUGACAGUGUACGAGUUUCAGAAGUACACCUCUAGGGUUUCUAACUUCUCUUCUAGGGUUCGAACAAUAAUUACCUGUAUCAGUCGGACAAUCAGGUUCUAACGUGCUCAAUUGAUGGUGGGUUCCCAGUUUAGGUUUUGAAUUUGAGGGUGGCAACACGUGUUCGGUGGGUUCUCCAUACUAAAGGGUUUGGGUUAUCAAAAUCGACGGUGUUUAAAGGUGGUGCAAGGAUUUCAAGCGAUGGGUUUGCUGUGAGAAUGAGAGAAGAGUGUGUUUGGAUUUCGCUUUAACACUUGUACAAACUAAAAAUAUCGAUAUGAAAUUAAUAGGGUUUGUGUCUUUCAUUUGUUUAAUUUAUUUUUCCCUAAACGCUGUCGUUUGAAUAAUCUAAGAAAUGACAACAUUUCCCUUUAUUUUUUGUAAUAAAAUAUUUUUCAAAACAAAGUCGAACCCGCGCAAUUGAAGUAAAAAUAAAAGAAUCAGUUAUACAGUUUUUAUAGUUAAAUAAUUUACUAUAAGUUUAUCGUAGGUUUUUGAUAGAUAAUUUUCUAUCACAACUAUAUCAUAAAUGCAUGACAAAAAAAAAAUAAAAAAAAUCUAUCAUGUGUUUAUCAUUGUAGGCCUCUAGACUAAAAAUCAUCACACAGGGACAGUCAUGGUAGUUGUUUUUCCUCAUAGUGCAAGGGCUGCCUCAAGCAUAUUCAUUUAUAACCCAAGACUUAUUUUAAAUCGUGAAACAAACUGCUUAACAUUUUAACUCUCUCUCUCUCUCUCUCCCCUUCAACUCUCUCACUCUCUCUUCUCCAUGUUCUUCUACUCUCUUACUUUUGCUUUCGUUCUUUUCGCUCUAUCUCUUUUUGUUUCUUUCUUUUUAAUUUGGUCUGUUCCCUUAAAUCCUUCACAUCUCUAUUGUUAACUAAAUUAAGUAAUGUAAAUUAUAUAAGCAAAGAAGAUUAAAAAUAAAACAUGAACUAUGUUGGGCUUAAAGAUGAAAACAAAAACAUAAGGGUUUUGGGUCUUAAAUUUAGAUCAUUCCAAUUGGGCUCAUGGGCUUUUAUACGAAAUGUGAAAACACUCGGUAUAUGAAUUGAACUCUAGUACUGUGAAUGCAAUUUAAAGGCCUAUGUUUAAACAAGAGAACAAAACUUAACAAAGAUAAAUAAUCAAAUAUAAUAUUUUUUAUUUUUUCAUAAUAAAUUGAUAUAAUGAUCCUGAUAAUUUUCAUAUUUAUAUGAGAUAAUGCUCUUGAUCAUUUUUAUAUGUACAUCUCAUAAUAAUCUUAAUCAUUUUUGUAUAUGUAUUGUAUAAUGCUAUUGAUUCCUGUCAUAUUUACAUGUCACAAUGACACAAUGAAUUUAAUUUUGAACGGUUAUCUUUAUGUGAUUCCUAUCAAUAACCAUAAUGUCAUUUGUCUCAGCAUACACGUGGACUUAUGUCUUCGAUAAUUUAUGGUAGGAUGGGCAAAAUCAGAUUCGGAUCAAUCCGAUUGGAUUUCGGAUUGUUCGGAUUAAUGAAAAAGUCAUUCGAAUGUAAUCCGAAUAAAAAUCCGAUCCGAAUAAAAAUUUCGGAUCAGAUUCGGAUUGGAUUUUUAUUCGGAUUCGUUUCGGAUCGGUAACAUCAUAUUGAAAUCGGAUUUGGAUAUGUUUGAACAGAUCAGAAGAAUUUGGAGCACCUACAAGUUGCAACACAAAUUUGAAAUCACACAAAUAAAAGAAAAACGCAGCAAGCCAGCAAAUGGAGAAAAAAAAGACAGCAAAUUGAAAGUGUUUUCAUUUUAACAUCAAUUAUUUUGUUGAUGUCUUUGGUAACAAUUGCCUCCCAAAAUUAGGAAACCUAAAUCAUGCAGUCAACCUUACAAUCACCAAAAAACAAGGAGAAUUAUCUACAGGGAAAAACAAAAUCAGAAGCAAUUCAAAAGACCCAAAACUCUACAAGCUUUUCAAAGUCAAGGAACCUAUCCUCAUAAGUUAUAACCUUUGCACCUUACAAGUUUUGAUGGAUCCGACUCCAUUAGAAACCCUUGCAAUAAGCAAAUAAAUGCAACGGCUGGGUUUAAGACUCUUGCAUGAGGCUUCGGCUGGUAGCGUGGCAACGGUGCAAUUCACGGGCUCAACGGUUGUCGGCUGGGAUGCCGUCGGCAUGCAGCUGGGGCAUCGACGACAGCUGCAGAUUUUUUUUUCUCAAAGUGAUUGGUUGUGUUCGUGGGUGAUGCGGCUGUCGGUUGUGUUCGUGGGUGAUGCAUCGAUUCUUUUAUCUUUUGAUUUGGGAAUUUAAGGGAUUUAGGGCUGUUUUUCAAUUUUUAUUUCUUAUUUAUGUUUAAGUUAUAUAUUCUUUUUAAUUUCAAGUGCAAUCCGAUCGGAUCGAUCCGAAUCCGAUCCGAACCGAAUCAAAUCCGAUCGGAUUGCAAAGUUUCUAUCCGAUCGGAUUGAGAGGUCAAUCCCAAUCCGAUCCGAACAUAUUCAGAUCAGUUCGGAUUGGAUUGAAUUGACCCGAAUCCGAUCCGAUGCCCACCCCUAAUUUAUGGUGCUUCAUUAGGAGAAAUUGAUCAAUAAUUUGUUUCAGCACGCGCAAAACGCAAUAUCAAAAUAAGGAGUUGAAGGUAAGCCAAACAAGCCAGGAUUAUCCAACCUAAGAUUUUAUUAAGUUACUUUUGCACGCAAGCAUUAAGAAGAGUCACUGAAACAUGACAAGAAAUAGAAGCCGAUGCUGGCAAAAUAAUUAGGACUGGCGUCGGCAUUUUAUUUUAUUUAAUUAAAUUAGAACCUUGAAAUGACCUGUACGCUUGUCAAAGCUCGGAUCAUUUGUAGAGUUCAACAAGCCAACAGCUGUAACCACGACAGACAAGUUUAACAACUGUAAAUCCAGCUUUUGUCGCCAGAGCCUUCAACUCCUCUACUGUCCUCUCCUUUGCCCCAGGAAUAACAGUGUACAUUUGUAUGUCAAGCAGAUAAACAAACCUGCUUAAAAUAUCAGUCUCAAGGGACUCUGGUAUUAAAGAGUCUACCACAAUGACCUUCCCGAAUUCUGGAAGAGCAUCGUAGCAAUUCUUCAGUAUCUUCACACAUUGGUCAUCACUCCAGUCAUGAAGUAUCCACUGAAGAUUUAUAUGAAAAUUAAUUUCCUAUAUUAGUUUCCAGAAUUUAUGCAGAGUUAACAUAUAUGUUGGCAAGUGGAAAAAUUAAUUGGAGAACUAACCUUCAGGAAAAUAGCUUCUCCUUUAGGCACUUCAACAAACAUAUCUCCUCCAACAUGCUCCACACCUACAAGCGAAAUUAAGAAAAAGGAAAAAGCAAAAAGCAAAUUAUAUAUAAUAUUUUAACUGAUAAUUAAGCGAAAUAUAUAACUCAAAAUAGCACGAUUUUUAAAAAAAUUACAAUAUGUAAAGAAAAAUAUAUAUCAUGUUAUUUUAUAUUUAAAUUGAGGGGAAACGACAGUGACACUCGAAGGUUUGGUGAAAUAAUCAUAGAAAUCUCAUAUUUUUGAAAUUAUAGACAUAAAUUUUUUUAAAGAUAAUUCUUUUUUUUUUUUUUAUAAUAACCUAACUAUUUUUUUACUGUAAUAACCUAACUAUCUUUCAUUUUGGCAUAAAUAUAAAAAAGUGGAUCUAUAUGAAUAUCUUUAAUAAAAUUAAAUUUUUUUUUAUGAUUAUUUCACCAAACUACCGAAGCGCCACUAAUUUUUUCUUUUAAAUUAAUGAAUACCUUGAUAAGAAGGUGCAUCUUUAAUGACAUGAGGCAAGUCAAAGUUAAUACCCCGAAUUUGUGGGUAUUUAGAAACUAGUAAGCUGAGAUUAGCACCUAAACCACCGGCAACAUCUACCAAUUGGUUUAUCUCUUCAAAUCCUUUGUAGAUUUCAAGAAUUUUCUUCAUAACUAAAGCCGUAUGAUUGCGCAUUGAUUGAUUGAAGAGGUUCCGUCUUCUAGCAUCUUUCAUAGCAUACUCAAAUGGAUUUUUUGCAUUAUGUGCCUUCAUAAAAGGCAGGGUCCCUUCCAAUAAACAAUCUUUCAAGUGGUACCUAUUCAAUUCGGGGAUAUAAAAUUUCUUUCACAGAUACUGAAAUUUAAAAAAAAAAAGAAAAUGAAUGGAAAUAAUGUAUAUGAAAGAUUGAAAAUACUCGUAUGUGAACGUCAGCACAAAUUUCGUGCGGAAAGAUACCCUUUUACAACAAUGUAAAGAGUGCUUCACAAUGUUAUAAAGGAAUUUUCAUGACUCAUGAAAGAUGUCGCAGAGAAAUUAGAAAACAAACCCAGGAUCUACAGAAACUUUGUCCUGAGCUAAGAGGAAAAUGGGAGCAAGAGAAACUCCGUCUUCAUUUGGAAGCAAAUAUCUGCAAACGGACGCUAAACCAUAUACUCUGAAAACAUUUCCAUCUUUAUUUGUGACAAGAUUAUAUGUUAGGAAAGAGUAACUAGCAAGGAGUCGUAACAUUCGAUCAAGUACUGUUGAGGCUUCUUGGUUAUUUGUGGGCAGCUGAGAUGCAAUCUCAGAAGAAGAAAGCUGAGAUGGACUAGCUUUAGCUAAAAUCUCUAACACACCAAGCUCGAUGAUAGCUUUCAUGGUCAUCGGAAGUAAUGAGCUGUGGGCAAGCUCCAUGAUCAGCAUGAAAUCUUCCUCAU